rnacentral:rRNA from 1 species
UGCAGGGUAUAGACCCGAAACCCGGUGAUCUAGCCAUGGGCAGGUUGAAGGUUGGGUAACACUAACUGGAGGACCGAACCGACUAAUGUUGAAAAAUUAGCGGAUGACCUGUGGCUGGGGGUGAAAGGCCAAUCAAACCGGGAGAUAGCUGGUUCUCCCCGAAAGCUAUUUAGGUAGCGCCUCGUGAAUUCAUCUCCGGGGGUAGAGCACUGUUUCGGCUAGGGGGCCAUCCCGGCUUACCAACCCGAUGCAAACUGCGAAUACCGGAGAAUGUUAUCACGGGAGACACACGGCGGGUGCUAACGUCCGUCGUGAAGAGGGAAACAACCCAGACCGCCAGCUAAGGUCCCAAAGUCAUGGUUAAGUGGGAAACGAUGUGGGAAGGCCCAGACAGCCAGGAUGUUGGCUUAGAAGCAGCCAUCAUUUAAAGAAAGCGUAAUAGCUCACUGGUCGAGUCGGCCUGCGCGGAAGAUGUAACGGGGCUAAACCAUGCACCGAAGCUGCGGCAGCGACACUGUGUGUUGUUGGGUAGGGGAGCGUUCUGUAAGCCUGCGAAGGUGGCCUGUGAGGGUUGCUGGAGGUAUCAGAAGUGCGAAUGCUGACAUAAGUAACGAUAAAGCGGGUGAAAAGCCCGCUCGCCGGAAGACCAAGGGUUCCUGUCCAACGUUAAUCGGGGCAGGGUGAGUCGACCCCUAAGGCGAGGCCGAAAGGCGUAGUCGAUGGGAAACGGGUUAAUAUUCCCGUACUUGGUGUUACUGCGAAGGGGGGACGGAGAAGGCUAUGUUGGCCGGGCGACGGUUGUCCCGGUUUAAGCGUGUAGGUGUGUGUUCCAGGUAAAUCCGGUUCACUUUAACACUGAGGCGUGACGACGAGGCACUACGGUGCUGAAGCAACAAAUGCCCUGCUUCCAGGAAAAGCCUCUAAGCAUCAGGUAACAUCAAAUCGUACCCCAAACCGACACAGGUGGUCAGGUAGAGAAUACCAAGGCGCUUGAGAGAACUCGGGUGAAGGAACUAGGCAAAAUGGUGCCGUAACUUCGGGAGAAGGCACGCUGACACGUAGGUGAAGUGAUUUACUCAUGGAGCUGAAGUCAGUCGAAGAUACCAGCUGGCUGCAACUGUUUAUUAAAAACACAGCACUGUGCAAACACGAAAGUGGACGUAUACGGUGUGACGCCUGCCCGGUGCCGGAAGGUUAAUUGAUGGGGUCAGCGCAAGCGAAGCUCCUGAUCGAAGCCCCGGUAAACGGCGGCCGUAACUAUAACGGUCCUAAGGUAGCGAAAUUCCUUGUCGGGUAAGUUCCGACCUGCACGAAUGGCGUAAUGAUGGCCAGGCUGUCUCCACCCGAGACUCAGUGAAAUUGAACUCGCUGUGAAGAUGCAGUGUACCCGCGGCAAGACGGAAAGACCCCGUGAACCUUUACUAUAGCUUGACACUGAACAUUGAGCCUUGAUGUGUAGGAUAGGUGGGAGGCUUUGAAGUGUGGACGCCAGUCUGCAUGGAGCCGACCUUGAAAUACCACCCUUUAAUGUUUGAUGUUCUAACGUGGACCCGUUACCCGGGUUGCGGACAGUGUCUGGUGGGUAGUUUGACUGGGGCGGUCUCCUCCUAAAGAGUAACGGAGGAGCACGAAGGUUGGCUAAUCCUGGUCGGACAUCAGGAGGUUAGUGCAAUGGCAUAAGCCAGCUUGACUGCGAGCGUGACGGCGCGAGCAGGUGCGAAAGCAGGUCAUAGUGAUCCGGUGGUUCUGAAUGGAAGGGCCAUCGCUCAACGGAUAAAAGGUACUCCGGGGAUAACAGGCUGAUACCGCCCAAGAGUUCAUAUCGACGGCGGUGUUUGGCACCUCGAUGUCGGCUCAUCACAUCCUGGGGCUGAAGUAGGUCCCAAGGGUAUGGCUGUUCGCCAUUUAAAGUGGUACGCGAGCUGGGUUUAGAACGUCGUGAGACAGUUCGGUCCCUAUCUGCCGUGGGCGCUGGAGAACUGAGGGGGGCUGCUCCUAGUACGAGAGGACCGGAGUGGACGCAUCACUGGUGUUCGGGUUGUCAUGCCAAUGGCACUGCCCGGUAGCUAAAUGCGGAAGAGAUAAGUGCUGAAAGCAUCUAAGCACGAAACUUGCCCCGAG